GGCGUGAUAGCUCAGUUGGUAGAGCAUUGUACCGGUAUCGCAGAGUCAUAGGUUCGAAUCCCGUUCAAGCCU